CUACGGGCGGCUGCAGUGGGGAAUAUUGCACAAUGGGCGCAAGCCUGAUGCAGCCAUGCCGCGUGUAUGAAGAAGGCCUUCGGGUUGUAAAGUACUUUCAGCGGGGAGGAAGGGAGUAAAGUUAAUACCUUUGCUCAUUGACGUUACCCGCAGAAGAAGCACCGGCUAACUCCGUGCCAGCAGCCGCGGUAAUACGGAGGGUGCAAGCGUUAAUCGGAAUUACUGGGCGUAAAGCGCACGCAGGCGGUUUGUUAAGUCAGAUGUGAAAUCCCCGGGCUCGACCUGGGAACUGCAUCUGAUACUGGGAAGCUUGAGUCUCGUAGAGGGGGGUAGAAUUCCAGGUGUAGCGGUGAAAUGCGUAGAGAUCUGGAGGAAUACCGGUGGCGAAGGCGGCCCCCUGGACGAAGACUGACGCUCAGGUGCGAAAGCGUGGGGAGCAAACAGGAUUAGAUACCCGCGUAUUC
rnacentral:rRNA from 1 species